rnacentral:tRNA from 1 species
AGUUAAACAAGCAAUGGUUAAGCCUAAUGUCUUGAAAACAUUAAGAAAGAAGUUCGACUCUUCUAUUAACUU